UGAGGAAUAUUGGACAAUGGGCGCAAGCCUGAUCCAGCCAUGCCGCGUGCAGGAUGACGGUCCUAUGGAUUGUAAACUGCUUUUGUACAGGAAGAAACAGUUCUACGUGUAGAACCUUGACGGUACUGUAAGAAUAAGGAUCGGCUAACUCCGUGCCAGCAGCCGCGGUAAUACGGAGGAUCCAAGCGUUAUCCGGAAUCAUUGGGUUUAAAGGGUCCGUAGGCGGUUAGAUAAGUCAGUGGUGAAAGCCCAUCGCUCAACGGUGGAACGGCCAUUGAUACUGUCUGACUUGAAUUAUUAGGAAGUAACUAGAAUAUGUAGUGUAGCGGUGAAAUGCUUAGAGAUUACAUGGAAUACCAAUUGCGAAGGCAGGUUACUACUAAUGGAUUGACGCUGAGGCGCGAAAGCGUGGGGAGCAAACAGGAUUAGAUACCCCUGUAGUCCCUGAGCGGGCUGGCAAGGCGCAU
rnacentral:rRNA from 1 species